rnacentral:rRNA from 1 species
GAUGAACGCUGGCGGCGUGCCUAAUACAUGCAAGUAGAACGCUGAAGGAAGGAGCUUGCUCUUUCCGGAUGAGUUGCGAACGGGUGAGUAACGCGUAGGUAACCUGCCUGGUAGCGGGGGAUAACUAUUGGAAACGAUAGCUAAUACCGCAUAACAGUAGAUGUUGCAUGAUAUCUACUUAAAAGGUGUAAUUGCACCACUACCAGAUGGACCUGCGUUGUAUUAGCUAGUUGGUGAGGUAACGGCUCACCAAGGCGACGAUACAUAGCCGACCUGAGAGGGUGAUCGGCCACACUGGGACUGAGACACGGCCCAGACUCCUACGGGAGGCAGCAGUAGGGAAUCUUCGGCAAUGGACGGAAGUCUGACCGAGCAACGCCGCGUGAGUGAAGAAGGUUGUCGGAUCGUAAAGCUCUGUUGUAAGAGAAGAACGAGUGUGAGAGUGGAAAGUUCACACUGUGACGGUAUCUUACCAGAAAGGGACGGCUAACUACGUG